GAAUUCACUAGUGAUUUGGCGGCGUGGUUAAGACAUGCAAGUCGAACGAGAGAAUUGCUAGCUUGCUAAUAAUCCUCUAGUGGCGCACGGGUGAGUAACACGUGAGUAACCUGCCCCCGAGAGCGGGAUAGCCCUGGGAAACUGGGAUUAAUACCGCAUAGUAUCGAAAGAUUAAAGCAGCAAUGCGCUUGGGGAUGGGCUCGCGGCCUAUUAGUUAGUUGGUGAGGUAACGGCUCACCAAGGCGAUGACAGGUAGCCGGUCUGAGAGGAUGUCCGGCCACACUGGAACUGAGACACGGUCCAGACACCUACGGGUGGCAGCAGUCGAGAAUCAUUCACAAUGGGGGAAACCCUGAUGGUGCGACGCCGCGUGGGGGAAUGAAGGUCUUCGGAUUGUAAACCCCUGUCAUGUGGGAGCAAAUUAAAAAGAUAGUACCACAAGAGGAAGAGACGGCUAACUCUGUGCCAGCAGCCGCGGUAAUACAGAGGUCUCAAGCGUUGUUCGGAAUCACUGGGCGUAAAGCGUGCGUAGGCUGUUUCGUAAGUCGUGUGUGAAAGGCGCGGGCUCAACCCGCGGACGGCACAUGAUACUGCGAGACUAGAGUAAUGGAGGGGGAACCGGAAUUCACGGUGUAGCAA
rnacentral:rRNA from 1 species